rnacentral:rRNA from 1 species
GGGCCCGCACAAGCGGUGGAGCAUGUGGUUUAAUUCGAUGAUACGCGAGGAACCUUACCAGGGCUUAAAUGUAAGUUGCAUUAGUUAGAGAUAGCUAUUUCUUCGGACUACUUACAAGGUGCUGCAUGGUUGUCGUCAGCUCGUGCCGUGAGGUGUCAGGUUAAGUCCUAUAACGAGCGCAACCCCUACCGUUAGUUGCCAGCGUGUAAUGACGGGGACUCUAAAGAAACUGCCAGUGCAAACUGUGAGGAAGGUGGGGAUGACGUCAAAUCAUCACGGCCCUUACGUCCUGGGCUACACACGUGCUACAAUGGCCGGUACAGAGAGCAGCCACUUCGCGAGUAGGAGCGAAUCUUCAAAGCCGAUCACAGUUCGGAUCGGAGUCUGCAACUCGACUCCGUGAAGCUGGAAUC